rnacentral:misc_RNA from 1 species
AAGCUUCUUUACAUGUAUGGCCGAUGUUGAAUAUUUGCCGCAGGCAAAGAAUCUGAAGAGAGCCGAUGUGUUGAUCUUCAGUAUCUCAACAGCUAUAAUCAUGCACUGUUAUGCACAGGAAAGGGAAGUGUUCCGGUCCAAGUACCUUAAUGUUCUAGACUGGGUUUUCGGUGUACCUCCUUCCCCUGGUGAAACACCACGACGCAAAGAGAGUUGAAAGCGUAUACGGGGCUCUUGAGUUCAUCAGAGGCUUACAGUUUUCUAAUUUAAAUUUGCC